AUUGAACGCUGGCGGCAGGCUUAACACAUGCAAGUCGAGCGGGGUGAUGGUGCUUGCACUAUCACUUAGCGGCGGACGGGUGAGUAAUGCUUAGGAAUCUGCCUAUUAGUGGGGGACAACAUCUCGAAAGGGAUGCUAAUACCGCAUACGUCCUACGGGAGAAAGCAGGGGAUCACUUGUGACCUUGCGCUAAUAGAUGAGCCUAAGUCGGAUUAGCUAGUUGGUGGGGUAAAGGCCUACCAAGGCGACGAUCUGUAGCGGGUCUGAGAGGAUGAUCCGCCACACUGGGACUGAGACACGGCCCAGACUCCUACGGGAGGCAGCAGUGGGGAAUAUUGGACAAUGGGGGGAACCCUGAUCCAGCCAUGCCGCGUGUGUGAAGAAGGCCUUAUGGUUGUAAAGCACUUUAAGCGAGGAGGAGGCUCUUUUGGUUAAUACCCAGGAUGAGUGGACGUUACUCGCAGAAUAAGCACCGGCUAACUACGUGCCAGCCGCCGCUGUAA
rnacentral:rRNA from 1 species